rnacentral:rRNA from 1 species
AUUGAACGCUGGCGGCAUGCCUUACACAUGCAAGUCGAACGGUAACAGGUCUUCGGAUGCUGACGAGUGGCGAACGGGUGAGUAAUACAUCGGAACGUGCCUAGUAGUGGGGGAUAACUACUCGAAAGAGUGGCUAAUACCGCAUGAGAUCUAGGGAUGAAAGCAGGGGAUCGCAAGACCUUGUGCUACUAGAGCGGCCGAGGGCAGAUUAGGUAGUUGGUGGGAUAAAAGCUUACCAAGCCGACGAUCUGUAGCUGGUCUGAGAGGACGAUCAGCCACACUGGGACUGAGACACGGCCCAGACUCCUACGGGAGGCAGCAGUGGGGAAUUUUGGACAAUGGGCGAAAGCCUGAUCCAGCAAUGCCGCGUGCAGGAUGAAGGCCUUCGGGUUGUAAACUGCUUUUGUACGGAACGAAAAGCCCCGGGUUAAUACCCUGGGGUCAUGACGGUACCGUAAGAAUAAGCACCGGCUAACUACGUGCCAGCAGCCGCCGCCG